rnacentral:rRNA from 1 species
UACAGAGGUCCCAAGCGUUGUUCGGAAUUACUGGGCGUAAAGGGUGCGCAGGCGGCCAAGUGUGUCAGGUGUGAAAUCCCGAGGCUCAACCUCGGAACUGCGCCUGAAACUACUUGGCUAGAGUACUGGAGAGGGUAACGGAAUUCACGGUGUAGCAGUGAAAUGCGUAGAUAUCGUGAGGAACACCAGAGGCGAAGGCGGUUACCUGGACAGUUACUGACGCUCAGGCACGAAAGCGUGGGGAGCAAAAGGG